UCUUCGGAUGCUGACGAGUGGCGAACGGGUGAGUAAUACAUCGGAACGUGCCCGAGAGUGGGGGAUAACGAAGCGAAAGCUUUGCUAAUACCGCAUACGAUCUCAGGAUGAAAGCAGGGGACCGCAAGGCCUUGCGCUCACGGAGCGGCCGAUGGCAGAUUAGGUAGUUGGUGGGAUAAAAGCUUACCAAGCCGACGAUCUGUAGCUGGUCUGAGAGGACGACCAGCCACACUGGGACUGAGACACGGCCCAGACUCCUACGGGAGGCAGCAGUGGGGAAUUUUGGACAAUGGGCGCAAGCCUGAUCCAGCCACGCCGCGUGCAGGAUGAAGGCCUUCGGGUUGUAAACUGCUUUUGUACGGAACGAAAAGACUCUGGUUAAUACCUGGGGUCCAUGACGGUACCGUAAGAAUAAGCACCGGCUAACUACGUGCCAGCAGCCGCGGUAAUACGUAGGGUGCGAGCGUUAAUCGGAAUUACUGGGCGUAAAGCGUGCGCAGGCGGUUAUGUAAGACAGAUGUGAAAUCCCCGGGCUCAACCUGGGAACUGCAUUUGUGACUGCAUAGCUAGAGUACGGCAGAGGGGGAUGGAAUUCCGCGUGUAGCAGUGAAAUGCGUAGAUAUGCGGAGGAACACCGAUGGCGAAGGCAAUCCCCUGGGCCUGUACUGACGCUCAUGCACGAAAGCGUGGGGAGCAAACAGG
rnacentral:rRNA from 1 species